rnacentral:rRNA from 1 species
AUACCGUGAAACUGCGAAUGGCUCAUUAAAUCAGUUAUCGUUUAUUUGAUAGUACCUACCCACUACUUGGAUAUCCGUGGUAAUUCUAGAGCUAAUACAUGCUAAAAGCCCCGACUUCGGGAGGGGUGUAUUUAUUAGAUAAAAAACCAAUGCCCUCUGGGCUCCUUGGUGAUUCAUGAUAACUUUACGGAUCGCAUGGCCUUGCGCCGGCGACGGUUCAUUCAAAUUUCUGCCCUAUCAACUUUCGAUGGUAAGGUAUUGGCUUACCAUGGUUUCAACGGGUAACGGGGAAUUAGGGUUCGAUUCCGGAGAGGGAGCCUGAGAAACGGCUACCACAUCCAAGGAAGGCAGCAGGCGCGCAAAUUACCCAAUGCCAAUUCAGGCGAGGUAGUGACAAGAAAUACUGAUACAGGGCUCUUUUGGGUCUUGUAAUCGGAAUGAGUACAAUUUAAAUACCUUAACGAGGAACAAUUGGAGGGCAAGUCUGGUGCCAGCAGCCGCGGUAAUUCCAGCUCCAAUAGCGUAUAUUAAAGUUGUUGCAGUUAAAAAGCUCGUAGUUGAACCUUGGGCCUGGCUGGCCGGUCCGCCUCACCGCGUGUACUGGUCCGGCCGGGCCUUUCCUUCUGGAGAGCCGCAUGCCCUUCACUGGGUGUGUCGGGGAACCAGGACUUUUACUUUGAAAAAAUUAGAGUGUUCAAAGCAGGCCUUUGCUCGAAUACGUUAGCAUGGAAUAAUAGAAUAGGACGUGCGGUUCCUAUUUUGUUGGUUUCUAGGACCGCCGUAAUGAUUAAUAGGGAUGGUCGGGGGCAUCAGUAUUCAAUUGUCAGAGGUGAAAUUCUUGGAUUUAUUGAAGACUAACUACUGCGAAAGCAUUUGCCAAGGAUGUUUUCAUUAAUCAGUGAACGAAAGUUAGGGGAUCGAAGACGAUCAGAUACCGUCGUAGUCUUAACCGUAAACUAUGCCGACUAGGGAUCGGG